GUGAAUCAUCAAAUUUUUGAACGCACAUUGCACUCUCUUCUGAUCCGAUGCCUGUUUGAGGGUCAGCCUAAAAAAAAUCGACAUAGUCGCUGUUUCGCGUUUACAUGCGUCGGAAAUUGGGUCAUCUUCAACCUUUGGCUUUUAAGCCGCUUAAAAUUUUCCUUACGAUUCCACGAACGUGUCUAAUAUUUACUUCUUAUACGUUGAAGGUAUCGAUCUUUAUUAGACGUGGACGUUGCAUCAACUUUCG
rnacentral:misc_RNA from 1 species